rnacentral:rRNA from 1 species
UACGUAGGAGGCGAGCGUUGUCCGGAAUUAUUGGGCGUAAAGAGCGCGCAGGCGGCUUGGCAAGUCGGGUGUGAAAUCCCGGGGCUCAACCCCGUGACUGCAUCCGAUACUGUCAGGCUAGAGGUAGGUAGGGGAGAUCGGAAUUCCUGGUGUAGCGGUGAAAUGCGCAGAUAUCAGGGGGAACACCGGUGGCGAAGGCGGCUCUCUGGGCCUUACCUGACGCUGAGGCGCGAAAGCUAGGGGAGCGAACAGG